rnacentral:rRNA from 1 species
GGUAAAAAAAAGGUAAGCUACUAAGAGCGAAUGGUGGAUGCCUUGACUGGUAAAGGCGAUGAAGGACGUACUAGACUGCGAUAAGCUACGGGGAGCUGUCAAGAAGCUUUGAUCCGUAGAUUUCCGAAUGGGGCAACCCAAUGUAUAGAGAUAUACAUUACCUAUAUAGGAGCGAACGAGGGGAAUUGAAACAUCUUAGUACCCUCAGGAAAAGAAAUCAAUAGAGAUUGCGUCAGUAGCGGCGAGCGAAAGCGCAAGAGGGCAAACCCAGUGCUUGCACUGGGGGUUGUAGGACUGCAAUGUGCAAGAGGUAAGUUUAGCAGAACAUUCUGGAAAGUAUAGCCAUAGAGGGUGAUAGUCCCGUAUGCGAAAAACAAAGCUUAGCUAGCAGUAUCCUGAGUAGGGCGGGACACGAGGAAUCCUGUCUGAAUCCGGGUCGACCACGAUCCAACCCUAAAUACUAAUACCAGAUCGAUAGUGCACAAGUACCGUGAGGGAAAGGUGAAAAGAACUGAGGUGAUCAGAGUGAAAUAGAACCUGAAACCAUUUGCUUACAAUCAUUCAGAGCACUAUGUAGCAAUACAGUGUGAUGGACUGCCUUUUGCAUAAUGAGCCUGCGAGUUGUGGUGUCUGGCAAGGUUAAGCAAACGCGAAGCCGUAGCGAAAGCGAGUCUGAAUAGGGCGCUUAGUCAGAUGCUGCAGACCCGAAACGAAGUGAUCUAUCCAUGAGCAAGUUGAAGCUAGUGUAAGAACUAGUGGAGGACUGAACCCAUAGGCGUUGAAAAGCCCCGGGAUGACUUGUGGAUAGGGGUGAAAGGCCAAUCAAACUUCGUGAUAGCUGGUUCUCUCCGAAAUAUAUUUAGGUAUAGCGUUGUGUCGUAAUAUAAGGGGGUAGAGCACUGAAUGGGCUAGGGCAUACACCAAUGUACCAAACCCUAUCAAACUCCGAAUACCUUAUAUGUAAUCACAGCAGUCAGGCGGCGAGUGAUAAAAUCCGUCGUCAAGAGGGAAACAACCCAGACUACCAGCUAAGGUCCCUAAAUCUUACUUAAGUGGAAAACGAUGUGAAGUUACUUAAACAACCAGGAGGUUGGCUUAGCAGCAGCCAUCCUUUAAAGAAAGCGUAAUAGCUCACUGGUCUAGUGAUUUUGCGCGGAAAAUAUAACGGGGCUAAAGUAAGUACCGAAGCUGUAGACUU